AGCGAUGAACCGCCGCCGCGUUGCUAUGGGGAAGCCGUAGUAAUGAGGAAAGUCCGGGCUCCGCAGGGCAUGAUGCCGGUUAAUGGCCGGGGAUUUUGGUGUUUGAACGCCGGAGUCACAGAAAGCGCAACAGAAAAUAUACCGCCGCCCGUUUUUUAGCGGACGGUAAGGGUGAAAUGGCGGGGUAAGAGCCCGCCGCGGAAUUGGCGACAAUUCCGGCAUGGCAAGCCUCAUCAGGAGCAAAGCUAAACAGCGGUUGAGCGCCCACUCAAUAACCGCGGGUAGGCUGCAUGGAAACUUCCGGUAACGGAAAGUUCAAGAUAGAUGGCGGCGGCUUUUUUGCAAGGAAGCGAUUCCCGCAAAAAAGACACAGAAUCCGGCUUACGGUUCAUCGCUUUUU
rnacentral:RNase_P_RNA from 1 species